GUGUGCACAUAUACUAAAAUUGGAAUGAUACAGAGAAGAUUAGCAUGGCCCCUGCACAAGGAUGGCAUGCAAAUUCAUGAAGCAUUCCAUAUUUUU
rnacentral:snRNA from 1 species